AUUGAACGCUGGCGGAAUGCUUUACACAUGCAAGUCGAACGGCAGCAUAGGUGCUUGCACCUGAUGGCGAGUGGCGAACGGGUGAGUAAUACAUCGGAACGUGCCCAGUCGUGGGGGAUAACGUAGCGAAAGUUACGCUAAUACCGCAUACGAUCUAAGGAUGAAAGCGGGGGACCGUAAGGCCCCGCGCGAUUGGAGCGGCCGAUGUCAGAUUAGGUAGUUGGUGAGGUAAAGGCUCACCAAGCCGACGAUCUGUAGCUGGUCUGAGAGGACGACCAGCCACAAUGGGACUGAGGCACGGCCCAGACUCCUACGGGAGGCAGCAGUGGGGAAUUUUGGACAAUGGACGCAAGUCUGAUCCAGCCAUUCCGCGUGCAGGACGAAGGCCUUCGGGUUGUAAACUGCUUUUGUACGGAACGAAAAAGCUCUUACUAAUACUAGGAGUCCAUGACGGUACCGUAAGAAUAAGCACCGGCUAACUACGUGCCAGCCGCCGCAGUAA
rnacentral:rRNA from 1 species